GAAUGCUGACAUAAGUAACGAUAAAGCGGGUGAAAAGCCCGCUCGCCGGAAGACCAAGGGUUCCUGUCCAACGUUAAUCGGGGCAGGGUGAGUCGACCCCUAAGGCGAGGCCGAAAGGCGUAGUCGAUGGGAAACGGGUUAAUAUUCCCGUACUUGGUGUUACUGCGAAGGGGGGACGGAGAAGGCUAUGUUGGCCGGGCGACGGUUGUCCCGGUUUAAGCGUGUAGGUGUGUGUUCCAGGUAAAUCCGGUUCACUUUAACACUGAGGCGUGACGACGAGGCACUACGGUGCUGAAGCAACAAAUGCCCUGCUUCCAGGAAAAGCCUCUAAGCAUCAGGUAACAUCAAAUCGUACCCCAAACCGACACAGGUGGUCAGGUAGAGAAUACCAAGGCGCUUGAGAGAACUCGGGUGAAGGAACUAGGCAAAAUGGUGCCGUAACUUCGGGAGAAGGCACGCUGACACGUAGGUGAAGUGAUUUACUCAUGGAGCUGAAGUCAGUCGAAGAUACCAGCUGGCUGCAACUGUUUAUUAAAAACACAGCACUGUGCAAACACGAAAGUGGACGUAUACGGUGUGACGCCUGCCCGGUGCCGGAAGGUUAAUUGAUGGGGUCAGCGCAAGCGAAGCUCCUGAUCGAAGCCCCGGUAAACGGCGGCCGUAACUAUAACGGUCCUAAGGUAGCGAAAUUCCUUGUCGGGUAAGUUCCGACCUGCACGAAUGGCGUAAUGAUGGCCAGGCUGUCUCCACCCGAGACUCAGUGAAAUUGAACUCGCUGUGAAGAUGCAGUGUACCCGCGGCAAGACGGAAAGACCCCGUGAACCUUUACUAUAGCUUGACACUGAACAUUGAGCCUUGAUGUGUAGGAUAGGUGGGAGGCUUUGAAGUGUGGACGCCAGUCUGCAUGGAGCCGACCUUGAAAUACCACCCUUUAAUGUUUGAUGUUCUAACGUGGACCCGUGAUCCGGGUUGCGGACAGUGUCUGGUGGGUAGUUUGACUGGGGCGGUCUCCUCCUAAAGAGUAACGGAGGAGCACGAAGGUUGGCUAAUCCUGGUCGGACAUCAGGAGGUUAGUGCAAUGGCAUAAGCCAGCUUGACUGCGAGCGUGACGGCGCGAGCAGGUGCGAAAGCAGGUCAUAGUGAUCCGGUGGUUCUGAAUGGAAGGGCCAUCGCUCAACGGAUAAAAGGUACUCCGGGGAUAACAGGCUGAUACCGCCCAAGAGUUCAUAUCGACGGCGGUGUUUGGCACCUCGAUGUCGGCUCAUCACAUCCUGGGGCUGAAGUAGGUCCCAAGGGUAUGGCUGUUCGCCAUUUAAAGUGGUACGCGAGCUGGGUUUAGAACGUCGUGAGACAGUUCGGUCCCUAUCUGCCGUGGGCGCUGGAGAACUGAGGGGGGCUGCUCCUAGUACGAGAGGACCGGAGUGGACGCAUCACUGGUGUUCGGGUUGUCAUGCCAAUGGCACUGCCCGGUAGCUAAAUGCGGAAGAGAUAAGUGCUGAAAGCAUCUAAGCACGAAACUUGCCCCGAGAUGAGUUCUCCCUGAGACUUAGAGUCUCCUGAAGGAACGUUGAAGACGACGACGUUGAUAGGCCGGGUGUGUAAGCGCAGCGAUGCGUUGAGCUAACCGGUAC
rnacentral:rRNA from 1 species